AAAAGAGCCUGAGGAAGGAGAAGACGACAGAGACAGCGCCAAUGGGGAGGAUGACUCUUAAGCACAUAGUGGAGCUUAGAAAUCUUAUCCCAUUAUUCAUUUACCUAGGCGUUUGUGGGAGAUGAAAGUAACACCAGGUCAUCUCCCCUGGGGUCUUCUGCACAUUCUCACUGUUGUCCCGCCUUACCCUCCCUGUGUUCAUUAAUUCAUGAUUGCCCUGCGCCUAGUUACAGUUCCACUUCCUUUGAUGCUCCGUAGUACUUUCGUUAAGUCUCACCCUGUAAGUUUUGCUUUAAUUUUGAUACCUCUUU
rnacentral:lncRNA from 1 species